rnacentral:lncRNA from 1 species
CUCUACUCUAAUUUAUGAUUCUUGUAACGUUACAGGGAAGAUUUGUGAGAAGGCCGAAUCCAAGAAGUGAUGAACAAGAGAAGAAGAAGAAGCUGUGAACAUCAUCAUCAUCAUCAUCAUCAUCAUCAUCAUCAUCAUCAUCAUCACUACUUUGAUGAUGGUAUCUUUUGUUUUGCAUUAUUUACUUGCUUUCUUUUCAUCUUCUACGCUAAAACCCGAGGAGAUGGAGGCUGGUUAGGGAGAGGAGGAUAUAGAAGUAUUCGCCGACGAGUUUUUUUCGCCUAGGCUCUAUAUUUUCUCUUUGUUUCCUAGUUUUUGGAAAGAUGCUGCUUGAGUUUUUUUUUUUUUUUGGUUCAAGAAAGUUAUCGAUAGCAUCAUUUAGCAGCUAAGAGGCUCUUGAUGGUUCAAUAUUAAUACAAAGUACAAAUUAACUCUCUUUUCUUUUUCAAUUCUUUUAGUUAUGAUUAAGAAAUUUAGAACUUGUUUGGGAACGCAAUGCAAAUCGUGUUCUCAAAACAUUCAAAUUUUUUUUUUUUUACUAAAAUUUAUUAUGGUUUGUAUGUUUUGGAUCAUUUUGAUGUGCUGAUGUCAAAAAUGAUUUUUAAAAAAUAAAAAAAAUCAUUUGCAUGCAUUUCGGCACAAAAAGUUAUUUGAAAAGCAACUACUACCACACUGCCAAACACCCUCUUAAUACAAACUAAGCGAGAGAGAGAGAGAGAGAGAGGGGAACCAAUUUUCUGAGUUUGUGGUAAGAUAAAUGUGGUUAAAGUUUUAUGUGUAGUAAAAUAUAUGUAUAAAAUGUUUGGUAGUUAUUUGUGUUUGGAAGUGUGGUUGUUUUUUAAAAUAUUUUUUAUUUGGAAAUAUAUUAAAAUAAUAUAUUUUUUUAUUUUUUUAAAAUUAUUUUUGAUAUCAGCGCAUCAAAAUGAUCUAAAAGCACUAAAAAUAUUAAUUUGAAGCAAAGAAAAAAAUAAAAAAUUUUAAAAUUUUUCCAAAAGCAUUUUUGAAACGCAAAAACAAACAUGAUUUUAGGAAUUUUUACGAAAUUCAGUUAAAAAAACAUAUAAAAAUUUCUACAUAAAAACUACAUUUCAAACUUAAUUUUUUAGUGGAUCCCGCAGCAUAAAAUACGAUUUGGUUUGUUACCAAACACUUUGCUGCGUUUGUUUCACCGCAAACACAAAAACUUGUGGAAAACAAAUGUAGCCAAGCUUGUUUGUUAUUGUGUUUUAAAAGUAUUUUUAAAAAAUUUAUUAUUUUUUUAUUUUUUAUAUGCUUCAAAACAAUUUUUAUAGUGUUUUUAAAUUAUUUUGAUGUAUUAAUAUCAAAAAUAUUUUUUAAAAAAUAAAAAAAAUAUUAUUUUAAUAUAUUUUUAAAUAAAAAAAUAUUUUAAAAUUACUGUAUUUCUACUCUAGUAAAAGUUCUUGUUAUAAAAAAAAUGAGAUCAAAAUAUAUAGAGCACAAGGCGUUGCCGUUCGAAAUAACCAAAAUCAUGUGCAAAAUCACAUGAAUAUCAUGAGAAAAAACGCAAUCUACUCCCAUUAAUGCUCUUAUCGGCACCUAAUUUCGUCUCAAUUGGCUCAUCAAUUUGAGUUCGUAAUCGAAGUGCAUGAGUAUGCACCAAGAUUAUUCAAUAUGCUGGCUUUACUCUUCCAUUAUGAAAACAAGGAAGCCAUGACUUUUGUCUGGCAUGAUUGAGGAUGUGAUUGUAAUUGUUUUUUAAAGUAUUUUUAUAUUAAAAUAUAUUAAAAUAAUAUUUUUUUAUUUUUUAAAAAUUAUUUUGAAGAUCAACGCAUCAAAACAUUUUAAAAUAUAAAAAAAUUUAAAUUUUUUAAAAAUAUAAAUAUAACUGCAUUUCCAAACACUUAUUUAAUUUAAGUUGGAGCCAAGGAGCGAUGACUUGUCAAAUUAUCUACCAUCAUUAGUUAUUUCAAGAUGAAUAUUUUCAUUAUAAACUCGUAGAGUGACAUCUUCGUCACCCGUUUUAAGAAUUUAUUGAUUUAAUGAUAAAUAAAUCCAUAGAUUUUUUCAUGGAAAAUAACAGUUGUCAAAAUUCCUUAUAAAUACUAACGUGAAUAGUUUAAUAAGGCAUUAUGUAUCCUCCGUGAGAAAUAAUUUAAUAAAAAAUAAAUACUUUUUAAAGGGAAUAUAUUUGUCCUUUCUUAAUUUCUUAGGUUUUCAAUAAAGAGCAGACCUAAAAAAAACACCUCACAAUUAUAUCAUGGGUAGUCUUAUUCAGUGUUUUAAAACUUGCACCUACCAGUGGGUCAACCCAAGAACUAGUAGACCCGGGUUCUAGACCGUUUCGGGUUCAUUAGAAUAGCUCCUAGGAAAUUCGCAUGGUCAAACCUAGGUGACCAGCGGUUGACCCAAGGAUGAACCUUUUUUUUAUUAACGACGUCGUUUUGAACAGGGGUAAAAAUCAUCGGUUCCCAAGACAGGCAACCACGAGGUUGUAUUGAAAUGUUCAGACUACAAACUACGCUCGGAAAGUCGGGGAUAAGUAAGAAGAGAAGAAUUUGAAAGAAAAAAAGAGAAAUCCCGUAGAAAUCGAAUCCCUAAUUCCACCAAUGCCUUCUUCAUUUCACCCAAUUUGCUUCUUCUUCUUGAACGAACCUUCAAUUCAAGCUUGAAAUAUAUAGUUUUUACGCUUGGACCUCGUUUGUGGUGGCUAAGGGUGGUGGCGGAGGCCGAAAUCAACAAGAACAUGCACUGAGAGGAGAGAGAAACUGUCGUGAGCAUUGGUGUCAAAAUCGGGAGUUAACUCGUAAAAUCACGGCACCACCCUCCUCCCUCUAUCUCGCGCAGCGCAGCCAGCAACCACCCCUCUCGCUUAGGUCAGUCCCAAAAUUUACUUUCAAAAUUGAAUUGCAAACAUUAGUUAGCACAUUGUCCUUUCUAUCACAUGAUUAUUUGCCAAAUGGGCCAAUUGCCUGAUUAGUCAUGCUUUGCUUUUCAAAAAGAAGUGCUGCACAUGGAAGUUUUUUUUUCUGCUUGUAGAAUAUAAUUGACUUGGGCAGGUUUAAAAUAUCCAUUUUUUUUGCGGAGCAAGUGAGAGAGAGGUAAAAGGAGGUGGUCCUUCUUGGAUGAAAGGUUUACCUUUUGAAUGCUACGUAUGUGUUUAAAACUGGGUUUUGGUUGGUUUAUUUAUUGAUCUUUUAUACCAAAUUAGGAGACCUUGUAAUUAUGAUGGUAAUGGUUUGUCUUUAUUUUUGUUUGAGUUGAUUUCUUUUCACUGUUUAGCUUAUUGAAAUUCAAUUUUGAAACGUGUUUGCAGGAGUAUGUUAUUGAAACUUGCUCUGGUUGUCUCUCUGUUUCUGUAUACGCAGACCUAGACAAACCAGCUCUUGACCUAUAGCUCUGAGAGGGUGUUUGAGAGUGGGGUGGAGUAUAAAUGUUUUUUACUUGAAAAUAUAUUAAAAUAGUGUUUUUAUUUUUUAAUUUUUAAAAUUCAUUUUUAUAUUAGUAUAUCAAAGCAAUUUUUUUAAAAACAUUUGACGAAAACCAGGUUUAACCUCAAUGUCAAAUACCGCAUAAAUCAUAAGUAAACUGCAAUUUUAUAUUUCAUUUCAUUUGUUUUCUUCUUCUUAGGCAUAUACAAGAAAGAAAAGAAUGAUUUUUUAUGCAAGAACGCUUCACACAGCCUGAUUGUUGUUCUUGUCACGGACAUAAACUGUUGUGUGUGAAUUUGUGAUCAGACUAUUGGAAAUAGAUUAAUGGAAUUUUCAUUGCUUGAAAAUCUUCUUUUUAUCGCAGUGAGCCUAAUUUUUAUUGCUUGUUUCUAGAACCACUCCAAUUCCAAGUCUUAUUUGCCUCUGUAACCAAUACAUGUUUAUGGAUAAGUACAAUGCAUGUCAUAACAUGUUGUGGAGCCCAUUUCUUAAUUUUGCCGAGUCCAGUGUGAAGCAUCAAUUUGACAGUGCUAUCUUUCCAAGUGUUUAUCCUUUAGAAGCUUUUACAGGAACCAGAAGAGUUUGCUUUGGACUUUUUUUCCCCCAUAAACUGUUGAUGUUCAUUGUGGUAGAUCUGUUGUGUGUGAACUUGUAAUCAGACUAUUGGAAUGCCCAUGCAUAAACAUAUUGUCCUUGCAUAACCAUUCAUGAUAAUCUGUUUUCGUUUGCAUUAUACAUAGAUGGUUAUUUCCAUUUUCUUUUAGGCACCUUUUCUUCCUUCAUAAUUGUUUAGGUUACAAGGGUUAUAUGUUGCUCUCAAUCCAUCAGGAUUAUCUUUAUUCUCUUUAAGAUUAGUAAAAUGGGGUUUGAUUUUAUUAACGGAUUUUUUUUAUAUGGUUCUAGGUUCCUCCUCUUUUGUAAAAUAUUCUUUUUACUCUUGGCCUUUUCUCCUUUUCCUCUACAGAAAUAAGUGAUACUUUUCUCGCUUGUUGUACUUUUUAGGGUUUUAGGGUUUUUGUUACUUCACAAUUACAUCACCAAAAAGGUGGAAUCUUUUAGCUUUUCUAGCAGUUCACCUAAUUCUACACGGUUUCCUCCAAAUUCCAGGAUUUUCUUUGAAUUCCCUAGUUACUAGUGCUGAUUUUUUUUAAUUUUUGUCUUUGGAAUUCUCAAUUUUUACUUUGUUUAAUUAUCUUAUAUUUGUUGGAUUGAAAUUCCCACUUGAAUUCAAGGUUAUAGACCAGAAAUUCUCACUAAAGUUUCAAUCUUUUUUGGUAUUUUUCUUGUUAUUCUCAAUUUUGCUUUAUUUAAUUAUCAUAUAUUUUUCUUGUUAUUAAAUUCAAGGUUAUAGACCAUUCUAAAUCCUCAUAAAGAAACACCUCACUGAGAUGCUAACAACAACCACUUGCACUAGCCAAACUGGAAGCUUCAAAGCUUGUAAUUUUGUUUAGGCAUUUUAACAAACAAGUUAAACACAUCACUGAAAAACCAACAGACUUGAGUUCUUAUUGAUUCUUUUGGUGAUUUCUCUAUCUGAGUAUUUCAUAGAUGGAUUCUCAUGUGGAAGAAGGGUGUUCUUCUGAGACUUUGGCAUUCAUGGAGCUUGCUAUAGAACAGGUAAUCCAUGCAAACCUUUGUGUUAACUGAGAUGAUUAUAUUAGGCAAAAGGGUAACCAGGGAAUGCUUCUUUAUUGCUUUCAAUUUAGAUUUUUGUUUACAUUUCUGGGUUUAAUUUAUUUCUUCUUUUUGGUGCAACAGGCGGAAGAUGCUCUGAACAGCCUUGAAGUGCCAGUCGGGUAAGCUUUAUCCUAUGAUUAUUUUUCUAGUAAUAAUGUUAAUCUUUCAAAAUACUUUCUUGAGUAAUCUCUAUCAUUGGAUUUGUGGAGCCAGAUCACUCGUUCAAGGAGUUAAAAUUUUAUUUUAUGAGCUUUUGCAUCUUUGCUAGUGAAUGCAGUGAUACCUUGUAUAAUAAGUUCUUAUGACAUAGUAUAAAAUGUGGCUACCAUACUUGCCUUUUGCUUUUGUAUAUUUAUUUUCAAUGACCUAGACAUGAACUCAACCUUAUAAGUGACUAAAAUGUAGGAUAAGAAAAAGUUCAGGUUAUUGUAUUCGUGUUUUUUAUAUUUUAUCUGAACGUUGACAGAGUUUUAAGCUUUAACAAUCGUAAUGCGAUUCACCAACUGAAGAUUUGCCACUGAGCAACUCUGAAACCUUAGCCUUUUAGGUUGGCCAUUUUAAUUAUUGAGCUAUCCCGAAUGCUAUUUUCGGUCAGUAACCUUAUACAGCAUUGUUUUCACUGCUUGAUGUUCCUUUCAAUGUGGUGUCCAAUUUAACUGUUGGGAUUCUAUGGCUAAAAGCGUUUUCUUCUAAUCAGUUGGGAAUGUUUCAUAGUCAGGUCUUGUUCUAUGAAAAACAUUAUGAUGUCCUUUGUGACAUUGGAUGGAGUUGAGUAAUGAUUAAGUUUGACAAAAUUAUGAAGUGAGGCCGUGUUGGGCUGGGCCCAUGCCUGACUUUGUAUACAGAGUUAGCACCCUGAGUUCAUCUCUACCCAUCUUCAAAUUUGAGCUCAAUUAUGUGAGCACAAAGCAUGCCAGGAAUCUGCUGGAUUGUUUGUCUUCUCUCGUAAAUCUCUUGGUGACAUAAUUGUUAGGCCAAGGUUCCCUCGAUUAAUGUCAAGUUUGGCACUUGGUAGUCUGUCACCUUAUUCCCCAGCUUGACCUUGUUUCAGAUCCCACAAUCCCAAUCUCAGCACAUUGAUCAUAUGGAUAACUGGAUCAUAAAAAUCGGAAACCCAAAACCUAAGAUGGUAAGUGGGAAAAACUCAAAAAUAAGGAAGUGCAAGCAUCAUGUAAGGAAAAUUUACAAAAUAUCUAGGCAGAAUUUGCUUGAAAAUAUUCAAUAAAUCCAUGACUAUUAACUAAAUUGAGUAAUAGGCUUAUAUUAUUUUUCUUGCAUUUAUAUCAAAUGACCUAUGUGAAUGCCUCCAAGCAAUUAAGCAUGCUGCAAUCCCAAAUGUUGAUCCAACUAAGCUGACCUUGUUGUACCAUCUACUGGUUAAAGUAUCACGCUUUAUAUUUCUACCAACUGGUCUGUAAUGAUGCAACCAAGUUACAAUUUUGUUUUUCCAUUUAGAGUCAGUGGGGUUAUUGAAUGAAACCUUAUGUAAAAUUGUUAUGUUCGACCAGUUGUGUUAUUGUUGAAGAUGGGAAGGUCAUUGCAUCUGGGAGAAAUCGAACAACGGAGACAAGAAAUGUAAGUUUACCAAUUGAUCAACUUUUUGCUUGGUUUAACUCAUACAUUGUCCUUUAGUUGUAUUAUUUAAUAGUUUAGUUGCUUGAACAUUUUUAACUGUCCUUUCUUUCUAUUCAAGUGCAAAUGUGCAACUCAGUCUAUUUGGUCUUAGGAAUGCUUCUGAUCCCAAAUUUAAUUGAAAUUUGAGCUAAACUUUGAGAUAUCCAUGUUGCAUAGUUAAGCCAAAGCUCAAGCCCCUGAAGCGCCAGGCGCACGCCUGAAUAAAACAAGGCACUAUGCUAUAAAUUCAAAAAAAAUAUAUGUAUAAUAUUAUACUAUAUAAAUCACAAAUAUAUAUAUAUAUAUAUAUAUAUAUAUAUAUAUAUAUAUAUAUGUUAAAAAUUAAGAUAAGAAAAUCGAAGUGAAACUCAAAAUGUUUUAACAUAGUCAUAAAAAGUUAUACUAUUCACCCUUAAAAACAAAAUUAAAAAAAUUAAAAGAGCAAGUACAUUAAAAUAGUUAAACUUAAAAUGCUAAAGUUUGGAAUAAACUAAGUUGAAUAAAUAAAAAAAAAGAGAAUAAACUGAAGUUUCAGACACAAUAAACAUGGCAAGAAAAAAAAUCAAUUGUGAAGUUUGAUGAGUGAUGAACUUGAGAUUUGAAAAAAAUGUUCUUUUAUUAAAAAAAAAAGAAGUAAAAAUUUCGGCAGCAUAACACGUGGAUAUUUAAAGAAAGAGAAGAAGACAGGUAAAGAAGAAAUAAGAUGGAGAGAGAGACUACAUAAGUGAAAAAAGAAAAAGAAGAGAUAAAAUAAAUGAAGAAACAAACAAAAAAUGUAACUGAUUCUUUGGAAAAGUGUGGCUGCCAAAUGUGCCUCAACUCUAUUUUGAUGAUCUUUUUUUGUCUUUUUAAAUCCUAUUCUUUACUUUUACAAUGGCAUCCUUAAAUUAUUUUUGGUGGUGAAUAGAAAGAAUAUGGACAAAUAGGUCAAAACACAUAUCAAUUAAAAAAAGGGGAAAUAGAACAUAUAUUUUGACCAGGCACUCGCUUCAGCGCCUGGUGCUUGCACUCCAGGUGAGCGCCUAGUUAAAUUGCCUCGCCUGGAAAAAUAAAAGGCAUGGGGUCUCGCCUCUCCUAGAGUACCUAGGUGAGCGCCUCAGCGCCUCUUGACAACACUGGCUCAAGCAAACCAAAUAUCAGGAUAUGUUUAGCUAUUACUACUUUGGCCUCAUUAGUGUUUCUUGAAAGCUGAAUUCUUUUUCCUUAGUGUUAAAUAAGUUCACCACUAGGAUCUGGAGGUCAAUCAGCCAGUCUCUGUCGUGAGUUAGGACAUUGCCCUAUAUUUCAGCUUAGUAACUUGUGGUUGUAAAUUGGGCUGGUGUUAUUCCAAAAAGAAGAAAAAAAGGGUUGAUGUGAUUUGGACAAGAAUUGGAGACAGUAUAUAUAUGAAGGCAUUAAAGACAUCAAAUCUACCUUCUCUGUAUUCUUGUACUCUCCUUGUAGGUUUGUGUUGGGGUUGAGAUGGGGGAGCUUUGGUAGCAUGCAUUCAUUAAUAAGGUGGCACUUCCCUUAAUUUCUUAUGGCAGGCUACAAGACACGCAGAGAUGGAAGCAAUUGAUGUUCUUCUUGAACAGUGGCAAAAAAUUGGACUUUCAGUGUCAGAAGUUGCUGAAAAAAUUUCAACAUGCAGUCUCUAUGUUACAUGUGAACCAUGUAUAAUGUGUGCUGCAGCUUUGUCGAUACUUGGUAUGUUGGUUCUCCUUUAAUGGCAAGACUCCAAUCAUUGCUAUCUUUCUUAUUUACAGCUAGUCUGAUCAGUUACUGCUGAAUCUGUUCCCCUGACUUAGGUAUAAAAGAAGUAUAUUAUGGAUGCGCAAAUGAUAAAUUUGGAGGUUGUGGAUCAAUAUUGUCAUUGCAUUGUAGCAGCUCUAAACUACCUAACAGGUACAUAUCUUUGUACCACAUUUCAGUUAGUUCAUGAUCAUUCAUAAGUGGAUAAUGCAUACCAGACCUCAAAAAUAUGCCUUAUUUGUGCAUUUUGCACAAAUGAAUAAUGUGAUGAAAUGGAGGAUACAAAUUCAUAUACCAAAGAGAAAGUAGCUAAUAUGAAUAUGAUGAUGGAAUAUGAACCUUACUGCCACUUGACAUCAAGAAAAAUUAAAAGAGAGAGUUUUCAUUCUGAAUAGUUCAGACUAGUUACAUGCCCCGCGCGAUGCCGCGGGUCAAUUAUUUUUUGCAUUUCAUAAAAAGCUAAGAUCUAAAAGUAUUAAAUUUUUUUGCAAAGUUAUACCCAAGAGUCUUAGGUUUAGUUGCAACGCCUAAUCCAAGAGUAAUGUUUAUAAUAUUAAUAAUAACAUUAAACUUGCAUGGCCUAAAUUUAAGUGGGUUUGACUGCAAUACCAGACCCAAUAACAUUGGACGUGGGUCUAGCUGUGCAAGGUUGUGUCAUAAAUGUGUGAUAAUUAAAUAGAUUAGUUAAAAAGAAAAAAACAAAGAAAAAAAACCAACAGAAAAAUAAAAACUAAUGAAGAAAAAGAAAAAAAAUAUGAAUUAACUGGGUUAACCCUUCAAACCAGUUUAACCCGUCAUACCUUGAAUUCCGUGAAAGUUUGAUAAUUAAAAAGAAAAAAAAACAAACUAAUGGGUUAACCCAGAAUUAACUGAGCUAACUCGUCAAACCAGGUUAACCUGUCAAACCCGGAAUCCGUGUCAUGAAAGUUUGAUAACUAAAUAGAAAAAAAAUUAACAUUAACAAUUUAAAUUAAACAACAAAAAUUAAUUAAAAAGAAAAAAAACAAAAGGAUGAGCCUUUUCACUGUGGACUGCACUGUGCAGUCCACAGUCAAAUGCAUAAAAACAACAAAAAAACAAAAAGAAAAACUAAAGGCAUCAUCCGAGAACUACUUAGAAAAAAAUUUAAUAUUAAUAAACUAAAUUAAUUAAAUAAAAUUAAUUAAAAAGAAAAAAUAAAAGAAAAAAAACCUCUAAGAAGAAAAAAAAACUAAAUAGAAAGAAAUUUAACAUUAACAAACUAAACUAAACAAAAAAAAUAAUUAAAAAGAAAAAAAAAGCAAAAAAAAAAAUUCCAGGUUAACUCGUCAAACCAGGUUAGCCCGUUAAACCCGGGAUCCGUGUCAUGAAUGUCUGGUAACUAAAUAAAAAAAAAUGAACAUUAACAAACUAAACUAAACGAAAAAAAUUAAUCAAAAAAAAUUAAAAAAAAUCCGGGUUAACUCGUCAAACCAUAUUAACCCAUUAAACUUAGGAUCUGUGUCAUGAAAGUCUGAUAACUAAAUAAAAAAAAAUUAACAUUAACAAACUAAAUUAAUCAAAAAAAAAUUAUGAAAAUAAAAAACAAAAAAAAAAAUUGACGGGUCAACCCAGAAUUAACCAGGUUAACCCGUGAAACCAGGUUAACCCGUGAAACUCGAGAUAUGUAUCAUGAAAGUCUGAUAACUAAAUAGAAAGAAAUUUAACAUUAACAAACUAAACUAAAUGAAAAAAAUUAAUUAAAAAGAAAAAAAGCAAAAAAAAUAUAUUUUUGGGUUAACUUGUCAAAUCAGGUUAACCCGUUAAAUCCGGAAAACGUGUCAUGAAAGUCUGAUAACUAAAUAAAAAAAUUUAACAUUAAUAAACCAAAUUAAACAAAAAACUUUUGUUAGAAGAAAAAAAAUAAAGAAAGAAGCAAAAAAAAAUCCCGAAAGGCAUAAAAAACAGCUAAAAAAAUAAGACAACUUAAAAAAAAAAAACCAAAAAUGGAUCAGUGUUUUACUGUGGACUGCACUGUGCAGUCCACAGUAAAACACUGAUGUGCAGUCCACAGUAAAACACUGAUCCGUUUUAGUAGAUGUUACAAUUAAUUAAAAAGAAAAGAAAAAACAAUUCGGGUUAACUCGUCAAAUCAGGUUAACCCGUCAAACCCGGGAUCCGUGUUAUGAAAAUUUGAUAACUAAAUAAAAAAAUUAACAUUAACAAACUAAAUUAAACAAAAAAAAUUCAUUAAAAGAAAAAUACACAAAGAAAAAAGCAAAAAAAAACCCAUAAAGGCAAUAGAAAACCAAAAAAAAGGGAAAAAAAAACAGAAAAAAAAGGGAAAAAAAAAACGAAAAAACAAAAAAAAAGAGAGGACUGCUCAGUGUUUCAUUGUGGACUUGCACAGUGAAACAUUGAGCAGUUUUAGUUUUUUCUUAAUGAUGGAAUAUGAUGCUUAGGGUCACUUGGGUGUUUUAUGGUUUGGAUUUAAAUAUCAAACCUCUGCUUUCAGAUUGUUAUUACAAACAAAAAGUAUAAUUUGUUAUGGACUACUCAUGGUAGAAGUGUUAGGUUAUUGCUUUGUGAUACCCUGCUUGUCUGGUUCCCAGUGCAAGGUCCUUAAAUUAUUUGGUAGAGAUUCUCUUUUAGAAACAUCUUCCAUUUAUUAGGGAAUUGUGCAAUUGAAUUCAUGCACAAUAUGUUCCACAUUUUGUCAGUGGGGACAUUGCACAAAGGAAAGAUUUCAAAUGUACUGGAGGAAUAAUGGCACUUGAAGCAGUCUCUCUUCUACGACGUUUCUAUGAACAAGGGAACCCCAAUGGUAUGAACUCGAUUGCCCAGCUACAGCCAUACAUGAUGCAUAUGGGCACAUGAACUGGAAUUUUGUGAAAUGAAUGGAAGGCAAUUUUUUUGAAUGUCUUCUAGUAAUUAUUAUGACAAAACCAACUUUGGAGUCUGAAAUGACUAGCACUUUGCACACCCUCUUAGCAAUUAUUAUUUGAUUAUAUGAUGCGUAUUGCAGUCAUAAUCUCUUGCAUGCUUUGAUGUUGGCGAUUCCCUGAACUGUGAAGAUCUGUAAGAAAUUAUUAAAAAUGAUGUACUUUCACCUCAUUUCUCCUCUUGGAAGAGAGAUAACCACUGGGACACCCACCCACCCAUGCACCAUUAUUAUAUUGAGGUCAGCUUUAGCAUUAUGCAAUGCACAUUCAUCAAUCUAACAUGUCGCAUGGGUGGGGAUGCAUCUACCUUGUUUGCUUAUCUAUACAGUCCUACGAGUAUUAUAUGCUAAGCACUGAAAAGUUUAGACAGUAACAUCAUAUCUUUAAUUGAAUUUGUCUUCACUGGACCCUCGAUAAUAACUUCUUUUUUUCAGCUCCAAAACCUCACAGGCCACUGGUUCAACAGGCAACAAACAACUAGACUACCAAAACAAUAUUUCAUACUUUCUUGCUUCCAGUUGUCUUGAUGUAAGACUUGCGAGAUAAUCAAGUACCUUCAUCAUCUGUGGGAAUUCAGGCAGAGGAAUGUGCUGGUUCAUCAGCAUUGCUUCAACACUUUAUGAGGGAUCUAGGAGCAAAGCUUUCAUGAUUAGUAGAUUUGAUUUUACACUUUCGACCGUACAAUCUCUUCUCAUCAGUUUCUUUCAAAACCCAGAUAAAAUCUAAGAAGUAUUUUAGAUAGAAACUGUAUACGGUGGACCAGAAAUUGAAAUUUGUGUUAUGGUCAAUGAAUGUAGCAAAUAUACUAUGAUUUUUUUCUUUCGGCAAUAAGAGAAUUUGUUACGAUGGAUCAUCAAUGUACACGAAGUUUGGAUUCUUCGAGUGGAAAUUUUGUUACAGAUAACAUUUCAGGUAAAGAAGAAGAGUAGCAGUACAAAAUCUUGAAACCUUUAAUCAAUGGUCACAUGAGCAUUCAUUUCUGUGCUUCUGCUAAAAUAAUUGGUGAUGGUAGUGGUAGUGAUAGCAGUAGUUCUUGGAAAAAAUGUUUUCAUGCAGAAUCCCUGGUAAAGAUGCUAAUUUGUGAUAAUUGUGAAGAUUCAUUUCAUGUAUCUUGCUGCAAUCCUCGUGUAAAAAGAAUACCGGUUGAUGAAUGGUUGUGUCGUUCAUGUUUGAAGAAUAAAGAAAAAAUUCCGAAGGAGACAAUUAUUAGAAAACCUCUCAAUAUAAUUCAUGACAUGGGCAGAUGUAGAAAUGCUUCAUCUGCAGAUAGAAAACCUCUCAAAAGUGGUGUUCGAGUUGUUAAAAGGUUUUCAAGUAGAAGUUCCAGAUUGGUAAGUUCCAAUUAUCUGACAUGUGAAAGUUGAUUCCCUCUUUCUUCAAUGCAUACACUCCAUCUAAGCUACUGGAUUUCAUUAUUAUUAUUACGAAAAAAUACUAAAUGACGUGGGAAAGCGUUAUAGCUUUUUAAACAAGAUACCGUGGAUUUUUAUAAUGUUUUUUUAUAUGAAUUUUUUUUUUACAUAUGGUUUUUUUGUUUUGUUUUAUUAUAAUGAUUUUUUUAAAAUUAUUUUUAUGAUUUUAUUUUUUAAUAUUGAACUGGUUGAGAAUUUAAAAUUAAAAUUUUUUUCUUUUUAUUUUGUUUAUAUAUGAAAUUAGCGUGAUUUGCAGGAUUGUCGAGGUAACUCAGGUUGCUCAGUUUAUGGAUUUGGUGAGUUUUUUUUAAAUUGAAUUUAUUUUUUUAUAAUCUAUUUUUUUUUCAUAUUGUUGAAAAAAUAGUUUUAAAGAAAAAUCAUUAUAUUAAAUUUUAUAAAGUAACAAAAAUUAAAGGAUGCGGGGAAAACCACUGCUCACCUAACACCUAUUACACCAUGGAUUACAAUAGUAAUUCACAAUGUUUUGUUUUUUUUUUUUUAAUUUUUGUUAUAAUUUUUUUAAAAAUAUAUUUUUGUUGAUUUUAUCUUUUAAAACUGAGAUUGUUAAGAAUUUAGUUUGUAAUUUACUUCUUUUUAUUUUUUUAUAUGAGAUUAACAUGAUUAUAGAUUUGUCAAAAUAAUUCAGGUUGUCUCAGUUUUUAAGUUUGCCUUUCUAAAUCUUUUUGUUAGGUUUGUUGUGACAUUAGGGAAUUCUAAUGUUUUCAAUUGAAGAAUAGAAUUAGGCUGGAUAAUUUUAUUCAUAUCACCAAGGGGUAUUUAUAUUGGACAAAUAUCAAUCAUUUAGGUAAGUCAACUAUACAAUUGAAUAGGCUACAAUCCUGGAUCUAAAAGUUAGGCUAAAAAUCACCCACUUACAACAAUCAGCUAACCAAUUGAUAGUUGUAUACAACGAAUAUACUUUAACUCUCUCCCUUAAAUCACACAUGCUCAACUUCGAUAGUGAUAUAUGAAAAAGACCACUAGUAAUAACAUGAGUUAUUAUAUUAACGAGCUCUCUUAGUAAGAAGAAAUCUUAACCAGACACCAAAAUCUAGAUUAUCUUUGAUGUUGAACUUGAACUCUUGUUAAGUUCAAUAUGCUUGGUUGAUCAUGAAUUAUUUUUUUAGAUUAACGUGGGUGUCCGGACUAACUUACGCGCAUCUCAACUAAUCUUACGGGUCCUGAAGUUAGCGACCAUGUAAGCCUUCAAUGGCUGUGAGGUUUGUGGGAAUCGAAUUGGUGACUUUUAGAAAGUAAACUCAGGACCUGAUCAGUUGAAUUACAAUCCUCGUUGUUGCUAAACUGGAUUUUUGGUAAACUUAAUAGUUGCUGUGUUUCCACAAAAAAAAAGCACUGUUGUUUUUUUUGUAUCGUACCCAAUUCACCAGAGAGAAUUUUGAGCCAAGUAAGCUUUGUAAUAUGAUGGAGGGCACGGUAUUCUGAUUUCGCACUAGAUAGUGAUACAACAUCCUGUUUUUACUCCUCUGAGUUACUUAGAUACCUCCAACAAAUGACACAUAUCCUAAGAUAGAUUUUCCAUCUAAUUUGAAAUCCAGCAAAAUCAAAAUCAGUAUAUUCCACAAUAUCCAGGUGGUUAUGUCAAGAGAUCAAUACACCUUUACAUGGAGAGGAUUUCAAGUAAACCAGGAUACAAUUUACAUGGAUGAAUUGGCUCCCAACACUAACAGCAUUGAUCUCUACAACCUUUGAUACCUCUCGUUAUUCGUUGGAACCUGAUCCAGCUAGAAAGCAAGACCAUGGUUCAUCUUAGUAAGAGUAUCCACAGGGUUACAUGCAGAGUUAUCAAUUUCAGUCAGGAGAUCUAAUAUGUAUUUCUGUUGUGAGAGAAAGAGUCUUUGCUUGAAUGGAGACACUUCAAUGCCCAAGAAAUAUUUUAAAGUUCAAGUCCUUAUCUCAAAUUUCUUGGCCAAGUAGUUUUAAAGUUUCUCUAGCUCACUUAUGUCACUGCCUGCAACAAUAUGUCAUCAAUAUAAAUAAAUAAGCAAUAUAAUAUCAUCACCUUCCUUUUUAUAGAACACAGUGUGAUCUGCCAAGACUUGUUUGAAACCAUUCUUCUUCAUCGAGUGACUCAAACUGCUGAACCAAGCCCUCGACAUUUGCUUCAGUCCAAACGGUGCCUUUUUUAGCUUGCGUGCUUUUACCUCCUUUAGGCAUAAAGUUUGGAGGAGGGCCCAUAUACACUUAACAGGCUUAUAUAUCAAUGUUUGUUCUUUCAAUUAGUCAAUAAUAAUUGAUAACUAGAUAUUUUCUACUGGAUUUAAAAAGUAUACCAUACAGACAUUGCAUUAAUUAUCAAUGAGAAAAAUGGAAGAAUUCAGUCUGGGGAGAUAUACCAAAGAGAAAGUAACUGAUAAAAAAAACCUUACUGUUGCUUGACAUUGAAAAAAAUUAUAAGAAUUCCCCUUGGAGAUUUUUUUAUGAAUAGUUCAGUGAUAGCAUAUAAUGCCUAGGAUCUGUUGGGGUGUUUUAUUGUCUGGAUAUAAAUAUCCAACCUCUGCUGUAAUUCGUAAUGUACUUCCCAAUGCAAGGUCCUUUGAUUGUUUGAUAGAGAAUCUAGAGAUUUUGUUUUAGAUACAUCUUGCAUUCAGGGAAUUGUGCACAUGAAUUCAUCUAUAAUAUGGUACUUAUUUUCUUACUGGGGACAUUUCAUAGAGGAAGGAUCUCAAAUGUCUUCAGUGGCUCUAGAAGAAGUCGCUCUUCUACGAAGUUUCAAUGAACAAGGGAACCCUAAUGGUAUGUAGCUUGAUUACUCAGCUACAGCCAUUUAUGCGCACAAGAGCUCAUGAACUGGCAUUUUGUGAAUUGCUUUGUCUAGAAAGCAAUUUUUUGAAUGUCUUUUGGUAAUUAUUACGACAAAACCAAGUUUGGAGUCUGGAAUGACUUCCUUUUUGCACACGCAUGAACACGUAGGCAAUUAUUAUGUGAUGACAUGAUGCUUAUUUCAUCAUAAUCUUUUAUAUGCUUGAAUGUUAACGAUUCCCUGAACCGUGUGGAGAUCUUUAUGAAAUCAUUAGAGAUGAUAUUACUUACACCUCUCUUCUCUCCUUGGGAAAGAAUUAACCACAGGGACGAACACACACAGCCUCGUUAGGAUUUAAGAUAUUGAGGUCAGUUUUAGCAUUCUGCAAUGCACCUUCAUCAAUCCUAAUAUGUUGCGGGGGUUUGGAUGCAGCUACCUUGUUUUCUCAUCUUAUCAGUCCUAUGAGUAUUAUAUUUGCUAUGCACUAAAAAGUGUAGACAGCAACAUAAUUUCUGCUAAUUGAAUUUAUAUUUGCUAUGCACUCAAUACUCAGUUUUUUUUUUUUUUCUAGCUCCAAAGCUUCACAUACCACUGGUUCAACAGACAACACACGACUAGGAAUUUCAUAAUUAAGCACCUUCAUCAUCCGCAAGAUUCAGGCAGAGGAAUGCGUUGAUUCAUCGGUAUUGUUUCAACUGUUUAUGAGGAUCUAGGAGCAAAGCUUUCAGAAUUACUAGCAGUUUUGAUUCUGCAUAUGAUGUUACAGUAUUGUACAAACUCUUCAUCAGUAGCUUUUAAAACCCAGAUAAAAUCUGGGCUUGAAAUAAGAAUUCUUUCAUAUAGAAACUGUAUAUGGUGGACCGGUGAUUGAAUUUUAUGUUACAUUUGCCUUGGUCAAUGAAUGGAGCAUUUUUAUUGUGAUUUUUUUUCCAUUUCUCUUUACAAUAAGAGAUGCUAUGUGGUUUCAGUUGAUGUCAUGCAUUUGAAGGGAAAGUGGAAGAAUGGAAUUUGUGGUCUUAUGUUAGUGUCAUCUCCAUGCUUUCUUGAAGGACUUGAUUACUUUUCAUGGCGUGUAAUCCAUGUAAAGUCUAAAAUUAAGAAACAAUUGCAAGAUUGCUUAUCUUGGCCAUUGCUGUACUAUCACAACUGAGCAGAGCAAACCUAUCAAUAAAUUAGGUUUCUAUAUAAAUUUUUUACCAAUAAUGCACCAUGAAAAACACAAAUGUGACAUAUUUGGAAGUUUAAAAGAGAAACAGCAUGAACUUUAGAAGGCUUUAUUACAAUUGUAUCAAUAAUGGAAACAAAGACAUGAUCAAAUCUAUAAUCUGAAAAUUUUCCCCAUUAAGAACAAAAACGGCAUGACAUAAUUAACCCAUAUUCUAUAAUUUAAAAACUUGUUACAAAGCAGAAAGUGUUCAUUCUAGCAACAUUCAUUAAACAAGAAAGAGGAGACAGAUCUGGAGUUAAAAGUUUUCAUCCUGCUGCUGCUGCUUCUUCUUUUCUCAUUACUACCUUUUGCACAUCUACUACUAUGGGCACAUUUGUAUUAUACAUUCUAUUUUAUAACAGGAGAUGAUAAUCUUGUUUACUCCAUGUUUUCAAUUCAAAUACCAAGUCUAAGGAAAGAUUGUAAAAUUUCAUGUAAGUAUAUUAUUUGGAUGCAAAAUACGAGAUCAACUCGCACAUGAUUUAUGUUUUUAGCUGUGAAGAACAUUAUUUCGAUGUUUUUUACAAGAAACGGAGAUUACAUCGUAAAUGCAACCAACACUUAGUCUUGAUAGAUAUACAAAAGCAUGUCUAAAAAUGUCUCGAAUCUAGAUCAUUAAAAGAACUCAUAGUAAGCAAAUAAUAAUAAUAAGCGCAUAAAUUGAAUAGCAAGUGAAAAAAAACACCUUUACAACCGGUUGCACACAAACAACUAUUCUGUCCAUAAAAAAAAAAAAAAGGGUCAGAGUAAAAAACAGAGUUUUAAAGAGAGAGAAGGGGGGGAGUUUUUAGUUUUAGAGAGAUAAAGAGAGAGGGGCUUUGUGUCGUGGCCAGCUUCUUAUAAAGAGGCCUCAUUGCCAAGCCAUUUCCUUAUUGUUGGAAGGCUUUUGGCGAUCAGGUAUAACUUUCUUGUCAUUUUUGCUUUCUGCGUUUUGAAUUUCACUGUUACUUUUUUGUUUUUUUUUCAUUGCUUUAUGUUUCAGAUAUCUGAAUGUUGAUGUUUGUAGGGCAUUUACAGCGAUUCUUGAAUGGAUUUUUUUUUUUUUUGCUAUUCUUUCUUUAACUUUGUGUGAAAGAAAUCAAGACGAACAGUAUAGGAAAUUGUGAAUUGAAUUCUAUGAGUUCUGGAAACCUGAAAAAGAACUUAGGGCAUUUUAUUUUCAGUCUUCAAGAAGGAACCGACAAACCCAUUAUUGAUUUUAAAGAAAAUCCCUUGGCAUUGUUAGAAUAAGUUCUUCAAACUUAGUUAAUAAUGUUUUAAUUGGUUAUUGAAGCUCUAGAUGGUGCUGGGUUUAGGUUUUGGUGGGUUAGAUUUGAUAGUUGUGAUUUAAGGAUGUCUUUUGUUUUCUUUUGUGGGUAAAAGAAGAUGUGUUCAGGUUUUCUUUUUAUGGUUUAUUCUAUAAGUUUUGUUUGUUAUUUGGAUGAUUUUUGUUGUCUUUGGGAAGCUUGGGGUUUCUCUUUUGUGGUGAAGUUGGAGUUUUUGUGUGUCCACCCAUGAAUGUCUACUUGAACACAAAUGUUAUAAGCCCUAAAAUUUGGCAACCAAUGGUGCUGUUUAGUUUGUCUUUUGGAAAGUUGAUGAUUAGAGAGCUCUUAGUUUCAUAUAGUAAUCUGACAAGUUUCCAUAAUGUUAUGUGGUUUAUAUGCUUCUCCUUAUAUAUGCAAAACAUUCUUUAAACCCUUUAAUUCUUUGGGUGAAAGGAAAAAAUUAUUGAGGAAGAACAUGAAUAAAGAAUCCUAAAGGUAUGCAUCUUUCUAAAAUGAAAGAUAAAAUUCACCUAGCUCAAUUUGCAGGAUAAAAUUAGGAAGCCUAGAAAAAUACUCUAACCAUGGUUGUUGAUCAUAAUGUGAUUGAUUUCUUAAAAUUCUUGCUUCUCUUUCAUCUAACACACCAAAAAAGAAAGUAAAAAACUAUUGGAAGAUCUCUCUCCUUUCCAUACCCCCUUUCGGAAAAGCCCUUAACAGUUGUCAAGUGGUUCUCUGUAGGAUGAGCACUAAAUAUCUAGUGCAAUUAAGGAGUCUAUAAGGCAUCGUAUCUUGAUGUUCAAUGUGUUCUAUGCUCAAACAAUGCUAAGAAUCAGGGGACAGGGGCUUUUUUCAUAAGGUUGUCUUGUCAUUAAAGUAUGCUGAUAAGCUUUUUGGUGUUUGUGGUGAAUAAUGAAUGUUAUUAGGAGUUCAAAUGUCUGGUUGAUACCUCUACGAGUAGCACUGUGAACUUCUUCAGCUUUGUGCUGUGUACCAUUUCUUCAGUAAGCAAAGGGGGGCAUUUUUAAGGUCUAUAUCAAUCACAAGUUUGCAUCAUAGGAGGUUGCUAAGCAGUGGCUUCGAUUUGGAGUGCAAAAAUCACAUCAGCUGGAUAUUGGCUGAGUUUUCAGGUGAAAAUGUUGAUACAGAGUUCCCUAUCUACUUCAAUUGAAUGUACUCCAUUUCAUGUAUCUGACCAAGGGAAACAGGAUUUAUUUUGUGACUGGAUGCCUGGUACUGAAAUUUGGCAGAUGUGCUCAAAAUGUCAUGAACACUGCCAUAAUUGCUGUAAAGAUGCUGCUUCAAUCACCGAGGAAAAGGAGACUAACAAUUAUUCAUGCCUGUUAAGUUUUCCGAGAGGUCCUCAUCCACCAACUAUCAUUAAAAUGUCUGAAAGUUCAGCACCUAGUUUUGUAUAUUGUAGAAGGAAGUUACAAGGAAACUCUAUUGAGUUUUUAUCAGCAAUCACAAAGAGAAGUGGAGAGGAUUGUCCUUAUGCCAUCAAUUCUGAUGGUCCUUCAGUUGCAGUUAAGGAGCACUGUGUAGUUUCUGAAGAUGAGCAUGAAACCGGUACUGUUAGAGUACCUCUCAUGACUCCUAUAUUAUGCAAUGGAGUUGAUUGUUCAUGCCCCUUUUCCUUUGGAAGAAGUACUCAACUUGCAUCUGUCAGUUCAGUGUCUGAAAGUGCUGCUACUAAUUUUGUUUAUGGGAAAACAAAGCUACGACAAAACUCUGUUUCCUUUUUAUCAGCAAUGGCAAAGACAAGUGGAGAGGAUUGUCUUUCUGUGAUCAGUUCUGAUGGUCCAUCAGCUGCACGGAAGGAGCAGCGCCUAAUUUCUAUACAUGUGCAUGGAGCUGCCCUUGUACCUCGUCCUCCAGUAUGCAAUAGAGCUGAUUCUCCAUGCCCAUUAAGUUCACAAAGAAGCCCUCAGCUACCCACUGUCAGUACAAUGUCUGAAAGUUCUGCAUGUAAUUUUGUAUACAGCAGAAAGAAGCUGCGAGGAAACUCUGCUAGCUUUUUAUCAGAACAGAUCCCUGCAAUGGCAAAGAGAAGUGGAGGAGAGGAUUGUCUUUCUUUAAUCAGUUCUGAUUGUCCAUCAGCUGCACGCAAGGAGCAAUGCCUAAUUUCUCAACAUGAGCAAGGAGCUGCCCUUAUGCCUCCUCCUACAGUAUACAACAAAGAUGAUUCUCCAUGCCAAUUAUGUUUACAAAGAAGUCAGCUACCAACUGCCAGUACAAUGUCUGAGAUUUCUGCAUGUAAUUUUAUAUACAGCAGAAGGAGGAUGCGAGGAAAAUCUGUUACCUUUUUGUCAGCAGAGGUCCCUGGAAUCACGAAGAGAAGCAGAGAAGAUUGCCUUUCAGUCAUCAGUUCCGAUGGUCCUUCACUUGCAGUUGAGGAGGCACAUGUAGUUUCUCAAGAUGAUCGAGAUCAGCAUGAAAGGGGAACUGGUGGAGCUCUUAUGCCUCCUCCUAUAGCAUACAACAGUGAUGAUUCUCAAUGCCGAUUAAGUUUACAAGGAAGUCCUCAGCUACCAACUUCCAGUACAAUGUCUGAAAUUUCUGCACGUAAUUUUGUAUACAGCAGAAGGAAGCUGCGAGGAAACUCUGCUACCUUUUUGUCAGCACAGGUCCCUGGAAUCACAAAGAGAAGCAGAGAAGAUUGCCUUUCAAUCAUCAGUUCUGAUGGUCCUUCACUUGUCGUUGAGGAGGCACGUGUAGUUUCUCAAGAUCAUCAAGAUCAGUUUGAAAGGGGAACUGGUGGGGCACUUCCCAGGCCUCCUUUAGUAUGUUAUGGAGAGCCCCAUGUUUCAAAAUCAGAAUCUAGCAGUGGAUGUUCACUUGUUGAAGACCUGGUUUCUGAUGAGGCUACAAAAAAAAGCAGGCCAAAAAUCAUUGAGGUUGACAGUAUAAAUGAUAGCUGCUCAUCAUCAAAGUCAAAUAUGGAUCUUGUUUCAGAUUCUACAAAGACUGAAGGAGAUGAUAAUGGUGAGUGCUCUUCAUCCAGUAUAGUGGCAGCAGAGGUCACAGGGGAAGAUCAGUCUGAAAAUGAUCAGUGUAUCUCUAUACUCAGAAGGCAGGGGGCUUUUGAGGGAGUUUGGCCCGGCAAAACCCAUGUUUCUGCUAAAAGCAUUGGUGAUGGUAGUGGUAGUGGUAGCAGCAGUUCUCGGCCAUGCAAAAAAUGUUUUCGCAAGGGAUCCCCUGUAAAGAUGCUAAUUUGUGAUAAUUGUGAAGAUUCAUUUCAUGUAUCUUGCUGCAAUCCUCGUGUAAAAAGAAUACCAGUUGAUGAAUGGUUGUGUCGUUCUUGUUGGAAGAAGAAACGGAUAAUUCCCAAGGAGACAAUUUCCAGAAAAUCUCUCAAUAUAAUUGGUGACAUGGGCAGAUGUAGAGAUGCUUCAUCUACUGGUGAAUCAAAUCCUAUAGCAUUGAUGUUGAGAGAUACUGAGCCGUAUACAGGUGGUGUUCGAGUUGGAAAAGGUUUUCAAGUAGACAUUCCAGAUUGGUCAGGUCCAAUUAUCAAGUACGUUGUUUUGCUAAUCCUCUUAAUUUUGAAUAUGUGAAGCAGACAUCCAUAAGAAAUAGCUAGACUGAAUUAUGUGCUAUUUAAUCUUAUAGACCCUCCCAUUAGCAUUCAUAUCCACGUCAUUUUUUAUUGUUGGAGUAACACUUCAUCAUACAAACUCGUUUAUCUGGUUUAUUUGCUUCUCAGGGGGCUUUAAAUCUGACAUAUGAGAGUUGGUUCCUUCCUUUUUUAAUGCAUAUGUUCCAUCUAAGUUACUGGAUUCCAUGUUAACUAAAGGAUGCCCAUAUCAGGCAUUUUUUUGCCUUUCAAAGCUUUUUUGGUAGGUCUGACAAGUCAUUGAGGAAUUCUAAUGGAUUCCACAUAAUAGAGAUUGUAUAAGUUGUUUGUAGAGAAUUUUUCUGAAGGAGGGAGUUGGUACUAUUAUUCUGAAAGGAAAUAAGCCUGAUGCUGAUGGUCUUGGAUUGUUCCAACGUUUUCAAGAAUGAGAUCAUUAAGCCUGAUGACCAUGUUCUUUUGUGCAGUCCAUUGCUGUUUCUUCCUGAUCCUAGAAACACAAGUGUCUGCGAGUCUUGCUGGCAACCUUACAAGAUUUAACAGGCUAGGAAGAGGGAGCAAUGACUUUGGCCAAGAAUUGCUGUUUUACCAUUUAUUAAAAACGUUACAUUCUAUUGUUCUUUAGCUAUAGACUUUGGUCUUGCAAUAAAUCUUUAUUUUUGAGAUGUUAUCAAACUUGAUACAUCCCAUGGUGUACAGAUGGAUCUUUUAUGCCCCUUUUCACUUAGUAGCAGAGGCACUAGUAGCUUGGUAGGAUCAAACAUAGCAGCCAUUUUGUAGGCGUCUUUGCAGACUGAACAUGUUUAGUCUCUUUUCUUCAACGUGUUGAUGCACAACAAUGUGGCCCCAUGAUUUGUAUUUUGAGUUGAUUAUGGGCUCUUUGAGGAAUGCAUGCUUAGAAGGGAGAGAGCUGACUCUUCAGUAAUCUGUUUGGUUGCUAGCAGUGCUAAAUGGCCUGAAGCUAAUUUUUUGGAGGCAAUAGCCUUACAGUUUUUGGACCCAAACGUAGAGGAAACUGAAAAUUAUUUGGCUUCAUUAAAGCAAAAUGUCAUAUUUUUUUAUAGUGACUAUAAAUUCCCAUUUUCAGAGCAUCUAUGUUUAAUGUGCUGAAAGAACAAAAAGUAGCAGUUAAUAGUUUGCGGGUCAGACAAUUGUAGGUUAUAAGGCAAAGAAAUGGUAGGUUUAAUUCCAUGAAAGGUAUACAGGCAAGUAUAGGAAUUAUUCCAUGAAAAGGCUCUGUGUUUCUUUGAUCCUUCAGUCUGUACCGAGGCACAGUACGUUGGCUUGUGUCAGACACAAAUUUUUUCAGUGUUCUAUUCCUUGUCCUCUCCUUUAUAUUAUUUGCUUUCAUUUUUCUUUUUUCCUUGCAGUAGGACUUUCCUUUUAAAAAAUUUAAGAAUGAUGCGAGACUGUUUCUAAUUAUCACCAGGAUGUCCUAGACUUGUUACUUUUAACAUCAUCUGUUAUUUUGAUUUUCAUGUAGUGUCGUCGACAUUAUUGGCAAACCUUUGGUAUUGGAGCCAUCAUACUUUGUCGGUUUGUUCGUAAGUCUUCAAAUUGUUUAUUAGUUUCAAGUUUGUCAGUUUAGCUGCAGAUUUCUUGGUGUUUUGAGAGAACUGAAACAUCCUCUUGUGCAGGAAUUGAAGUCCAACAAGUCUUCUAAACUUGGAUCUAUAGGCAAUUGGCUUCAGUGUAAACAGGUUAUAGAUGAUGCAGCAGAAGGAGGCAAUGUAACUAUAUGUGGAAAGUGGCGCAGGUAAAACAAAUAGUGAUCUCCUCUCUUGGGUGAUUUUGCUCGUGUUUUUGUUUAUUAACCUGCUUUUAGUUGGACAGCCUCAAACUCAAAUGUUUUAGUUAUUUGUGGGAGAGUCCAAUGCACAAUAAAAACCCGUACUAGGACUUUUAUACAACUCUCAACACUUGGCCCAUCCAUGAACUAGUGUACUGGCAGGUUUUAGCCUAGCAAUGCCUUGGUAGCGAAAUUUUGUAAUAUUUGUUUUUGCAAACACAAUAAACAGUUUGAAGAAUUUAAACCAUCAAGCUUGAAUGUUUAAUCUCUUUAUAGCCGUAAGUUUUUAGCAGUUCAUAUCUUGUGUAGAAACGUUCACUAAGUGAAAAUAUUAUGAAAUAUGAGCAAGCAUUACUGCGCACUCAAUUUAAACCAGGUACUAAAGUCAACCAUGAAUGUUUAAUCUCCUUAAUUCAUAUUGUUCAACUAAAUCCUCCAGCGCUGAACCUAUUAAUUUUGGCAUUGCCUUGUGUCUAUCUUAGUCUUGCAAUUUCAGGAACAAAAUGCGGGUAUAAUGUUAAUUUUCUCGUCUUAAAUUGCUAUUGACAAGUAUGAAGCUUGGCAAGUCCUUUCCUAUCAUUGAUGCAUCUUUGUGAACAUUUUGUAUCAUCUGCCCUUUGUUGUGCUGUUGGUUCAAAAUGUCAUUCCACUUAGUAGGAGAUUAAAGUGGAAUCAAUUCAAUUAUCUAUAUCAUGUCAUUGGCUGUAGCUUUGUGAGAGAUCCAAAAUAAAUUAGUUUGCUAACUCUUUCCCAUAGACAAUCCCACCAAGUCAUAAUUGAUCUGAUAGAUCUAAUAUUUAUCUCUUUCUAGUUAAGCUUGAGAAGAUUAAGUUCUAGAAUGUUGUUGAUGUAACAGGGCUCCUCUUUUUGAAGUCCAAACUGCUGUCUGGGAAUGCUUCUGCUGUGUCUUCUGGGAUCCAAUUCAUGCCGACUGUGCUGCACCUCAGGUGAAUUAGGCUUUUAUGUGAAAUCUUUGGAAUCAUGGACUUUCUAUGUAGCAAACAAAUUGUUUUUGGGUUCCUACCAUCUUUAUUACUUUAAUUAUAAGUACAAGUUUGCGGAGAUUAUUGAAUAUUCUUAAGCUAUAUUUAACAUAUACCUCAUAUUUUAUCGUAACCAAAUUUUGUUACAUGCAUCUGCCUCAGGAGCUGGAAACAGAUGAAGUUAUGAAGCAAAUAAAGUAUAUUCAGAUGGUAUGUUUUGGACGAUAUUUCAUGAUUUUAGAGUUUUAGCACUAGCGGCUUGGUCAUUGUUAUUUAAACUUGCUUGUCCUACUUACUUUUUUCCAAGAAUACACUGCUUUUAGGCUGUGAUGAAGGGCCGAAUCUACUAUACAAAUUAUUCUGCUGUUCAGAGCAGACACAUGGUUAGAGUUGGUAGAACCUUGAAUCUUAUCAUUGAGCAUGGUCUUGGUGGUUCGAUUAACAAAUGUGGAAUAAAACUGACUGUAAUUUGUCAAAACUUAUUAACAUAGUUCAUCUAAGUGCACUUGUUUUAGGAUCCUUGGCAUUUCUUUUGGUCAAGGACAUGCAAAUUUCUCUUAUCUUCAUUUGUUAACAUGUCAUUUGUUGUGCAGCUGAGACCCCGAAUAGCAGCUAAACAUCAGAAAUUGAGGCGUGCCAGCAUUGGCGAUCCAAUGGAUGAUUGAAAGGAGUGAUAGUUGCAAAUUUCCAAGAAUGAGCAAACACUGCUCGAUGAUUUCAAUGAAGUAUUAUCCAUACAGCUUGCUUUGUACAUUCAUUCUCACAGAAAUCCACAGCUGAGUUUUGGAGUUAGGUAUUCACAUCAUAACCGAAACAAAAUUAUUUUUAUAUUAGAUUGGUUUUUUAAAUGUUCAAUAUGAUAUAUGUGAGCCUUUGGUUGAGCCUGCUCAUAUGUCCCGAUAGGAAAUUUCAUUGAUCAUGGGAUAUUAAUUUCGCCAAUCACUUCCUUGUGAAACUCAUUUGUGUUGUCAUUCUAGUUUUCUCCCUUCCUAACCCAUCAAUCUCGAUAAUUCGAGGAUAAUAUUGGUGCAAUUUGUAGGAGAGGGACCUAAUCUAAAUAUGUGUAAUAGGUGGAUAGUGCAUUGGUAGGUUGCUCUACAGUGGAAGCAGAGUGAAGUUGAUGAUGUAACUGAUGAAAAAUCAGAGGUAAAUGAAGAGACAGUCGGUGGAUUUGUUGGGGGGUUAUGAAAGAGAAGCGACUGCGCUUGUAACUGCUGUUCUUGUACAGAAGUCCAACAAGAAAAUCUUCCUGUGUAUAUAUAUUUUAGCGAAAACAAAAAUAUAAAUGCCAGCGAUGUCUGUGGAUGCACAGACACUAUCCUUGAGACAAACAAGUGGUAGCAUUUGUUUUUGUUUUUUGGUCAGAAAUACAUGAAAAUAAUGUAUAUAUAUUCUCAGCUUCAGGUCACAAAUCAAUGUGUUCACGUGAUUAAUUUUACUACAAAUGUAAAUUACUAAAUAGCCUGUCACUGGAACUGGUAGAAGGCAUUCACAGCCCAAUAAAUAGGGUGAGAGGACCAAAAUCCACCAUAACAGCAAAGAAGAAAAACCAAGUAAAAUUUAUAGUCACGCACUCACACUGUCAAACGACUCAAACAUACUAGUCAUGUUAAAACCUAUAGCUUGAACUCUAAGGAACACGCCCAAAUUGCACUAGAAGAAUCACAAUUACACAAAUGGAGCAAACCGGAGAUCUUUGUACUGACCCAAAUUGCCUUGAGCCUUUCUUUUGUAUUUUAACAUCUUUCUAAGAAAAUAAGUACUUGUACAAGGAGUGUCCAUAACACAGAUUAGAAACAAAAGAUAAAAACUACAAUGCCAGCCCUACCUGCAAAAGUGUUUAGACAAAAUGCUGUGCAAAUAAUAAUAGGUUGCACGGUGUAUCAAUUUUUUCCCCUCAACUCAGCAAUGGGAAUGUAAACGAUAAAUUCUUCAAGUGGACGGGUUUUGGAUGACUUCCUAGCUUUGCCAUUUUGUAGCUUCACCACUUUCUGCUUCAUCUUCUCUAAUAUAGCCUUCGCUCUACAGAGUCUCUCCAUAUCAUAUUCAGCCGCUACUGAAAUAGGAUUAACCUUUUUCUUUACUCCCUUUGGUUUUGCUUUUAACAACUUCUUCAAGCUCACAUCAUCACUGCACUCAGCAUUCAUCUGAAAGUGAUAAAAGCUAACAUAUGUGAGGCAUAUGAAUAAAUAAGAACUCUAUGCUGUAGGUGCAUCAAUCCUACAGCAAAACUCAAAACGAUAAUAACUCUGAGGAUAUCUUUUCCCAUAUUAAUGCAUAGCCUCCCAACACCAACCUCACACUCACACAAACCAUUGCCCACAAGAUAAUACACAAUUGUCAACUCCUUAUCCAAUCACUCAAGACUUCUUUGUUUUUUAUCACAGUGCAACCAGAGAAGCAAUGUAGACAGAUAAAGAGAGCACACGAAUUGGGCCUGAAGAAAAAAUAAAUAAAGAAAACAAUCAAGUACUUAUGAUAAAGAAUACCUCAUUGCUUUUAGUAGGUGAUUCGUAGGAACCUCUUUUCUGUUCAUUUUUCCUUAAACUUCUGCUUAUUGACUUCAGCUUCUUCCUCUGAAGGAUCCUUUUCAAAUUCUUUGGGAUACAUACCUCAGUUUCUUCCCAAGAAUCCUGUGAAAGAUCAGCAGUUUUGCCCUCCAUGACAUUUAAUGUGGGUUCAGCAGAGACUUUGGAACUAGAGUUAUGAAGUUGUUCUCCUUUCUCUACCUGUUGUGGAAGUGAAUUGUCAUACACGAAACUGAAACCCAUAGAAAGACCUUGAGACAGAAGAUUUGAAAGUUUCGACUCUCAAAUAAUCACAUGAACAUGAUAACUACGAAUAAUGCAUCUCAUGUUGACACAGAAUUUAUACUUUUUAACUUAGUGACUGAUAAGCAUGCAGGAGAAAUGAAUUAUUCUUUCGUCAGUUCUAAAGACAUUAUUUGUAUUUGAGAAACAUUAAGGUCAAAAUAUUAACAAAGAGUAUCAAUUUUUAUUAACAGUUCAAAACAUCUGCAUAGAAAGAGUCAUGAAAGUCCUCAGCAGAACUUUGAAUACUACUGCAACAAAAUAUAACUGUUGCAUUUAAUGUACAUGAAGUACCAACUCACCUUCCGGGACUUCAGAGCUAAAUAACGGGAAUUCUUGAACCAUUUGCUAACCUGAAAUUACAACUUAAGUGUAAAUAUCUGGAACUUAGAAGAAAUGAAGAGCUAACAUGUGAAAGAGUAAUCCCAGUGGACAAUAUAAUGAACUACAACACCAAAGUAACACUUUUUUACAGAUGAAAAGGAAAGGAAGAAAAAGUUGAUUUUCCACUUUAAAAUCACUGAUUUGAUAUGUAUGUAUCCUAUAGUAGUUCUGUAAGUUCAAUUUCAAGGCAUCAUUAUGCAUUGAUUCAGUAGCUUAAGUUGUUACCUUCCCAGGUUCAAGGCCCAAUUCUUUUGACAGAUUCUCCUUGACAGUUCUAGAUGGAAGUUCAUUUUCUACAAAUACUUGGCGAAGUUUCUGGGACAGCACAUGAAAAGGGAAAGAUAACUUGCGCAAUUUACCAAAUUAAAUUACUAAGUAAUCCUUAAGAGAGAGAGAACAUAAAAAAAUUGUUUGGCAAGACACAUGUGUGGAGUGGAGGAAACUACUACCUCAACUGCAUCAGGGGGGAGUCUGAAAAUUGGCCUUCGAGUUUGAGGGGGAAGGUUCAUCAUACCUUCAAUGGUCUCAUCACUUUUACUUUUUUUUUUACUUUCACACAGUGUCAUAAGGGUGCUGGCUGCAUUUGACUCCUUCUCCCGUCGCUUUCUUUUGCCAGGACCCCAAUCUUCGUCUUCACUGGCUUGCUCGUGUGCAGGAGCAUCCUUUCCAAACACCUCCUGAUAGGAAAGAAAUUCACAUUGCCUUAGAUAAAUGAUUCUGAACUAUCACUUAAGAAAUAGACAGCAGAAAAAAUAAAAUAUAAACUCUGCAUCAUUAGUUUCCACAGCAUAAUUUUAAGAGCUAAAUAGAAAUAGACAGCAUAAUUUUCAUCACUAUUGUUUCUUGGGGUAAAUCAUUGGUCCAAUACAUAGGCAUCUAUCAAAUGCCUGCUUUAGCUAUAUCGCUGUCACACCCCCUCUUCCUGCAAGCUACUUCAAAAAACAAUUCCAGAGAAACCUAUUAACCUUCAAUAAGAACAACAAGAAACUAGUCCCAGGAGGUGGAGGAAGAAAAGCAGAGUCUAAUCGUACAUCCCAUCCAUAUAUUUUUCUUGACCCUUGUUUUUUUCUUUUUUGCCUUUUCCUAAAUUUGACCUGUAAGUUCGAAAAUACAUUAUUACCUCAGCAUUCCAGAUCAAAUAUAGAUUAAACUUGCCAUAGCGGAUAUAGUUUGAAGUUUUAAACAGAGAUUCUAUCACACUGUGUGCAUAACCACUAAAAAUCACUGAAGAUGCACUUCUUCCUAUAAAAAGAGAAACCAACCUAUGAAGUUGAUUCAAGUUGUCACACCACCAUAACUUUUUAGUUUUAUGCGAAGCUAGUGAUACAAUUUUAUGUUACAAGCAUUUAGAAUUACUCACAUCAUAUAACUUCUUAUAGUCAAUUGCUCUUCUCUGCCUACGGCCACAAACAAUUUCCCCAUCACUGGUUUCAUCAGAAUCUAAACUGCUAUAAAUAGAAUUGUUUCUGAAGUCCAAGCCAUGCAUCUCCCACCUCCUGGAUCCCAAAAAAACCUCACCAUCUGAAGACCAACCCAAGCUGGUUGAACUGCUGAUGUCAUCAGAUGCAUCAUCAUCAGUACCCGCUUCACUCAUGAUGUUGUCUCUCCUCUCUGGAUCGUAAUUAUCAUCUUCAGAAUCAUCUGAAGGCCAUUCUUCUUCGGGGUUUAAUAGCACAUUUCCAGCAUCAGGAAUUGCUGCUUCUUCUGUGAAAAUAUCCUAUUUCAAGAUAUAGUGAACAUCAGAUUGGUUACAGGGCACCAAAACCAAGAUUUUUUAAUUCCCUUUCAACUUUUUAGCUAAGAAAAAAGCUCAACAAUAUUUUAACAAUAACCUGCCAACUGCUGUCCUCUGAGAAAUGGGUUCCCAAAUGAGCAUUCAUAGCUUCUAUAAUAUCCAUCCUGCAUUCACAGAACUUGCAAAACCAUCCCUGAUCUCCUGGAGGUACUGCAGAAGUGCAAAUUAUCAAAUGUACAGAAAACCUUAGAAACAAUCCAUUUGUUUCGUAACUCGGUAGAAAAAACUUCACAAGAAAAGAAGUGAGUAGAACUGACUACUUUCAGUAUCCAAGGGAGGUUCAAGGCAUUUUUGGUGGAAAGCACAGUUGCAUGUACCAUCACAGAGUACAAUAUCAUUAUCUGGGGAAACUUCAUUCAAUUUGCACUUCGCACAGAAUAUCUAGAUGAAGAGAUGGAAAAGAAAAAAUAAACGUAAAGACACAAGUAAAUAAUAACACAAGAUAAAGCAAGUCAAGGGCCUCCUACCAGCUUAUCACUAAGCCAAUUUUUCUUGGGGCCCAAGUUAAUGUAAUAUCAGUAAAUCCAAAUUUGAAGGAAAAAAGGGACUUUUCAAUUGAUGUUGAGAAAAAUAAGCAUGCUUCAACUUUGCUUAGAAAAUAUUUCUGUCUCUUUGUGCCUCAACCAAUUUCAUGGCCCAAUUACUGAAUGAGCAUGUGCCUUUUCAGCUCUUGAAAGUGAGAAGCAAGAAGUGAGUUUGCUCAUUGAGAACUGACAGCCCAGAUUUAGGAAAUACUGGGUAUGAGUCUUUAUUAGCAAGAAUUCGUCAAAAAGGUUGAAUUCUUGUUUAAUGCUUUACAAUUCUUAACAUUUUCCAGAACACUGAUGCUGCUUGUGCUUGCUUACAUGUUCAUGUGAAACAGAUCCAUCUGGAGCCAUAACUGUCUCUUCAAUACAUCCUACUGUACUAAGAGAAUCCACCUGCCGAAUUAUAUCACGUAAACCAAGUUUACACUUCAAAAUCUGCUUCCUUGCUCGCAGUAGUUCCUUUUCUGGCCUGAUCUUCUCUCGACUGUGGCAGAAAUUCAGUAAAAGAUAAGAACAAACAUAGUUCUUUUAUCAUUUGAAGCUUCUAUCAAUUUCGAACUUCCAGUCAGCGGAGUUCUUUGUGUUUUGUUUUGUUUUGUAUCAUGCAUGUAGUAAAAUGGGAAUCAUUCAUUAGUUCCGAGAACAGAUCAGGUAAAAAAUUUCAAAAUUUUGAAGAAUAAAUGAUUGAAAAGGAAAAUUAAUCUAGAAGCAUAAGCAGAUAAAAAAAAUUAAACAAGGUUAAUGUAUCCAGAUUCCUUCGGCCGAACUUACAACGAAAAUGUCUUUGAGCCAAUCCUAAGUCCCAACUUCAGUAGGGAAAUAUUCCAUCUCAUGCAAUAUAUGAUCAGAACUUCCUUGAAAUAUUUCAGAUAGCUUCAAAUCUGGUAACAUGUUCAAAUAUAUGCUCCUAAUAAU